rnacentral:rRNA from 1 species
GGGCACACCCCUUCUCCUUUUGCCGUCACAUUUAGUUGGGCAUUUUAGGGAGACCGCCGGUGAAAAACCGGGGGAAGGUGGGGAUGAAGUCAAGUUCCCAGGGCCCUUUAGUCUGGGGUUAACACAGUGUUCCAAUGGCCGGUCAAAAGGGUGGCAAACCCGGAGGGGGGAGCCAAUCCUAAAAACCCGUUCUCAGUUCGGAUGGCGUUCUGCAAUUGGCUUCCAUGAAGUUGAAUCGCU